rnacentral:lncRNA from 1 species
AAAGUUGUCUGUCACCAGCCUGCCGCUGCCCCAUGCAUUUUAUGAAGAGUCCCACAGCAGUUCUUCCGGCGGACAGUCUUGCAGCAAGUGAUAGGCACCAGUCACUGUGCUGCGUGCAAAUUUGCUCCAGGCCAUGAUAAGGGCCCCCCCCUCUCUGUUGGAUUGGAGAUCAACUUCACAGUUCAGAGUUGAUCGCUAAAAAUACAUUAAAAGGGC